rnacentral:rRNA from 1 species
UACGUAGGGUGCAAGCGUUGUCCGGAAUUAUUGGGCGUAAAGAGCUUGUAGGCGGUUUGUCGCGUCUGCUGUGAAAUUUCGGGGCUCAACCCCGGACUUGCAGUGGGUACGGGCAGACUAGAGUGUGGUAGGGGAGACUGGAAUUCCUGGUGUAGCGGUGAAAUGCGCAGAUAUCAGGAGGAACACCGGUGGCGAAGGCGGGUCUCUGGGCCGAAAUUGACGCUGAGGAGCGAAAGCGUGGGGAGCAAACGGG